AUAACGGUGGAAUCUGCCGAAAGGCAGACAAUACCGUGGGAAGUUCCACUUUACUUAAGUAAAGUGGAACCCCGUAACGACUCUUUGUAAGGAAACGAAGGAGUUAUCGCAACGCAAUUAAGAGCUAAAGCGGUAGCUAACAUGUUGGCCCCGAAAUAACUCUCUACAAGAUUAUUUCGGGUGAAGGUAUAGUCUGAUACUCUGAGUGAUCGGAGAAAACACUAUGACGGUCCAUACACCUACGGGUGGCUGCAGCCGAGAAUAUUCGACAAUGGGCGAAAGCCUGAUCGAGCGACGCCGCGUGCGGGAUGAAGUCCUUCGGGAUGUAAACCGCUUUUGUAGACUAGAAAGUUUAUUGAUCAGUCUAAGAAUAAGAGGUUACUAAACUCGUGCCAGCAGUAGCGGUAAUACGAGUGCCUCAAGCGUUAUCCGGAAUUAUUGGGCGUAAAGGGUGUGUAGGCGGUCUUGUUAGUCUUCUGUCAAAUUCUUCGGCUUAACCGGGGGCUCGCAGAAGAAACGGCAAGACUUGAGGGUGCGAGAGGUUUGCGGAACUCAUGGUGUAGGGGUGAAAUCCGUUGAUAUCAUGGGGAACACCGAAAGCGAAGGCAGCAAACUGGCGCAUUCCUGACGCUGAAACACGAAAGCGUGGGUAGCGAAUGGGAUUGACGCUCGCAGUACAUGCUUUUUUAAGCAGAAUGCUUCGGCAAAAGAAAAUCAUAGUCGGUUCACAACGAGAAAUGAAAAACUCGCAGACUCAAACAGUUUCAUUUCUCUGUUCACCUCCUCGAUUUUCAUUUUGCCUCCCGCAAUGCUUAAAAAAGCAUGUACUGCUCGCUUUAUGUUGGAAAGAAAAACAACAGAAAGCGGAACGUAGGGGUACGUUGAGCACUAGUCCCCCCGUGAAGCGGAAGCGUUUUACGGGGAUAACCUAGCUAUAUGCUGGAAAACCCGAGUAUCUGGGAGUACUUCGUGAGUACGAAGUGAAAAUCUCUCCAGUGCGGGCAAUCAGCAGGAAAGGAUUAAUGAAAUAUGUCCUAGAGUAUGAAGCCUCUUGC
rnacentral:rRNA from 5 species